rnacentral:rRNA from 1 species
ACCUCUUCCCAUUCCGAACAGAGAAGUUAAGCCCGGAACCGCCGAUGAUACUUGGAUCAAACCCGGUAAAGUAGGUAGCCGCCACAA